CUCGUAGGUGGCCAACUAAGUCAGACGUGAAAUCCCUCGGCUUAACCGGGGAACUGCGUCUGAUACUGGAUGGCUUGAGAUUGGGAGAGGGAUGCGGAAUUCCAGGUGUAGCGGUGAAAUGCGUAGAUAUCUGGAGGAACACCGGUGGCGAAGGCGGCAUCCUGGACCAACACUGACGCUGAGGAGCGAAAGCCAGGGAGCAAC
rnacentral:rRNA from 1 species